ACUAGUGUCACGGGCCGCAGUUCAAAGCCCGUGACCAUCGCACCAAAUGCAUCCAAUGGAGGUCUAUUGCUCAGAUGGGGAUCAUUUGGCCCACGAGAACUGGCCCGAUUCAAUGAGCAAUUGGAGGAGCCUGUCAGAUUGAAGCCCGGUUGGCCCGAUAACGAAGAGAUUCAGGCUGAUAUAGUAACUAAUCUUAGAAGAUAGAGGGAAUCUUAUCUUGUAAAGAUUAGAUUGGAUUUGAUAAGGCUUAUCUUGUAAAUCCCUAAAAUAAAGGGAUAUAGUUAAUCUCGUCCGUCGAUGUAAUUGUAUCUUGACCGUCGGUUUUGGGGGAGCUCAACUAUAAAUAGAGAGCCUCCCCCUCAUUUGUACUGAUUCCAUUGUAUUCUGAAUUCUUAAGAGUAAUAAGAGUUCUGAGAGCAUUUACUCAAA